rnacentral:rRNA from 1 species
AACGAACGCUGGCGGCAGGCUUAACACAUGCAAGUCGAGCGCCCCGCAAGGGGAGCGGCAAACGGGUGAGUAACACGUGGGAACCUACCUGAAGGUACGGAACAACUCCGGGAAACUGGAGCUAAUACCGUAUGUGCCCGAAAGGGGAAAGAUUCAUCGCCUUCAGAUGGGCCCGCGUCAGAUUAGCUAGUUGGUGAGGUAACGGCUCACCAAGGCGACGAUCUGUAGCUGGUCUGAGAGGAUGAUCAGCCACACUGGGACUGAGACACGGCCCAGACUCCUACGGGAGGCAGCAGUGGGGAAUAUCGGACAAUGGGCGAAAGCCUGAUCCAGCCAUGCCGCGUGAGUGAUGACGGCCUUAGGGUUGUAAAGCUCUUUCGACGGGGACGAUAAUGACGGUACCCGUAGAAGAAGCCCCGGCUAACUUCGUGCCAGCCGCCGCUGUAACAC